rnacentral:snoRNA from 1 species
GCAGUUGAUGAACAAAAUAUUCUUCACUUUGACCUGAUUUAAAUAGUGGUGAUACAUCUUUGUCUGAUA